AACCUAAUUCUAAGUCUAUAAAUACCUAAAUCUAAAAAGAGAAUAGGGACGAAAAAAGAGAAUAAAAAAAACCUAAAGUUAUUGUCUCUGCGAAUCCAAACCCCCACUAGAGCUCCUUUGAAUCUUGAUACUUAGGGUUUUACAUUGAAACCCUAAGUUAUUCGCUUAACCUCAUAACAAAGUUCCAUACGGACCUCACACCUGCAAAAGAAAGA
rnacentral:lncRNA from 1 species